UCGAGGAUCAUUUGCAAUGGGCGCAAGCCUGACAAUGCGACGCUGCGUGGAGGAUGAAGGCCUUCGGGUUGUAAACUCCUGUCAUUUGGGAACAAUAUCGGGGUGGCUAAUAUCCAUUCCGAUUGAUGGUACCAGAAGAGGAAGUCACGGCUAACUCUGUGCCAGCAGCCGCGGUGAUACAGAGGUGGCAAGCGUUGUUCGGAUUUACUGGGCGUAAAGGAUGCGUAGGUGGUUUUGCGUGUCAGAUGUGAAAUCUCACUGCUCAACGGUGAAACGGCAUUUGAAACUGCAGGACUCGAGUACAGGAUAGGAGAGUGGAAUUCUUGGUGUAGCGGUGAAAUGCGCAGAUAUCAAGAGGAACACCGGUGGCGAAAGCGACUCUCUGGACUGAUACUGACACUGAGGCAUGAAAGCUGGGGGAGCAAACAGG
rnacentral:rRNA from 1 species